CUCCUCCCUGCCGACGCUCCUGCUACCUGCUCCUGCUACCGCCCGAGCAGGCUGCCCGUUCCCCUCCCCUCUAGGCCCCGCCGGACGGGGCUGCCUCCUCGCAGGAGGGGACAGGCGUGCUGUCUACACAUCUCUGUUUCACUGCUGCACAGGAGUGCAACAGGCUUGAUACUGUACCUGCAAGGUAUGCCAAGAACAGACUGCUGGCCUGGUAACACAUCUGCACUGGGAUGUGAGCAGCAGUGGCAAGCAUCUGGCUUGUGUGCAGGAAGAAAUCAGAGGCCACCCUUGUGCUGGAACGCCAUGCAGCCAACCCACACCUUGGGACAUCCCCAUCUGUACAUACCAACAG